UAUUUUAUGUUGUGAUCUCUGAGCUCCAGAUUGGGACAGAGGGAAGCAGCAUAAUUUUCUGUGAUGCAUUUACUUGUUUGGUGCUUGGGGAUGUUUGAGGCGGAUUUGUAACCGCCGUUUUGAGGCCAGCUUGCUGGUACCCAAACGGUGUUAGCAUUUUUUGUCUUGGACGUUUGAGUAUGGCUUCGGGCAUUUAUUGGUUCGAUCUGAGUGUAAGUUACGGUCGCAUGCGACACGUGCUUUUCAAUUAGUUCGGCCCAGUUAAUGCUCUCGUACUCGCUCCCCAUGUAAAAGCCGGUCAUCUAUCCGACCCGUCUUGAAACACGGACCAAGGAGUUUAUCGUGUGCGCAAGUUUUUGGGUGUUAAAAACCUAAAGGCGAAAUGAAAGUAAAUGGCACUUUAGAGUCUGAUGUGCGAUCUUGUAAAAAAGUGCAGCAUGGCCCCAUUCUAACUGUUUACAGCAGGGUGGCGGAAGAGCGUACGCGGUGAGACCCGAAAGAUGGUGAACUAUUCCUGAGCAGGACGAAGCCAGAGGAAACUCUGGUGGAAGUCCGAAGCGGUUCUGACGUGCAAAUCGAUCGUCUGACUUGGGUAUAGGGGCGAAAGACUAAUCGAACCAUCUAGUAGCUGGUUCCCUCUGAAGUUUCCCCCAGGAUAGCUGGAGCUCACGAGUAGUUAUACUCGGUAAAGCGAAUGAUUAGAGGACUUGGGAACGAAAUGUUCUUAACCUAUUCUCAAACUCUAAAUGGGUAUGAUGUCAAAGUUGCUUGAUUUUGAACUUUGGCGUUGAAUACGAGCUCCAAGUGGGCCAUUUUUGGUAAGCAGAACUGGCGAUGUGGGAUGAACCAAACGCGGAGUUGCGGUGCCAAAGUGCCCGCUCAUUAGACCCCAUAAAAGGUGUUGGUUGAUACAGACAGCAGGACGGUGGCCAUGGAAGUCGGAAUCCGCUAAGGAGUGUGUAACAACUCACCUGCCGAAUCAACUAGCCCUGAAAAUGGAUGGCGCUGGAGCGGGCCACCUAUACUCUGCCGUCAUAUGCUUGUAUUUUUGAGUCUUGCAAUGACGUGUAAGAGGGUCGUAGUGGUUGCGUUGAAGGCUUUGGGUGUGCACCCAGCUGGAGCUUCCACUAGUGCAGAUCUUGGUGGUAGUAGCAAAUAUUCAAGUGAGAUCCUUGAAGACUGAAGUGGAGAAGGGUUCCACGUGAACAGCAGUUGAAUGUGGGUCAGUCGAUCCUAAGGCACCGGCUAAAGCCGUCUAGACACUGCGGGGAGAUGAGAUACUUAACGGUAUUUUGUCCACCCGGUUGCCGAAAGGGAAGUGGGUUAAUAUUCCCACACCAGGCAUGGGAGAUGGUAAUCCGCAAGGAUUACUUUGCGCGGUGACGCAAACGAACUCGUAGACCUCGUGUGGAGUCCGGGCCAGAGUUCUCUUUUCUGGUUUAGAGAUCAUGUCCCUGGAAGUGGCUCAGCCUGAGAUAGGGAUGCUGGUCUCGUAAAGCGCAGCGGUUCCUGUUGUGUCUCGUGUGCUCCACAUGAGCCGUGAAAAUGCGAGGGAGGCAAUUUAAAAUCUCCUGCCUGAUCGUACCCAUAUCCGCAGCAGGUCUCCAAGGUGAACAGCCUCUAGUCGAUAGAAUAAUGUAGGUAAGGGAAGUCGGCAAAUUAGAUUCGUAACUUCGGGAAAAGAAUUGGCUCUAAAGGUUGGGUCAGUCGGGCUGUUGUGUGAAACAGGUGGACUUUGCUCGUGGCUGCUUGCGCUUCCUUUCGGGGCGGCGCUUGUGGACUAGUAGUGAGGACUGCUUGUGGAGCGCUUCAGCUGCGUGCUAUUUCGCAAGAUAUAGUACUUCGAUUGGCGCUGAACAACCAGUUUAGAACUGGCACGAACUCCGGGAAUCCGACUGUCUAAUUAAAACAGAGGAGACGGAUGGUCCUUGCAGGACGUUGACCGUGUCUGAUUUCUGCCCAGUGCUCUGAAUGUUAAGCCAAGGAAACUUGAUUAAGCGCGGGUAAACGGCGGGAGUAACUAUGACUCUCUUAAGGUAGCCAAAUGCCUCGUCGGCUAACUACCGACGCGCACGAAUGGAUCAACGAGAUUCCCACUGUCCCUAUCUACUAUCUAGCGAAACCACAGCCAAGGGAACGGGCUUGGCAAAUUUAGCGGGGAAAGAAGACCCUGUUGAGCUUGACUCUAGUCUGACUUUGUGAAGAAUCAUGAGAGGUGUAGCAUAAGUGGGAGUCGCAAGACAAAAGUGAAAUACCACUACUUUCAUCGAUUCCUUACUUAAUCGGUAAAACGGGAGUUGUGUCUACGGACCUUCAUUUUUGUUUUAAGACUAGCCACU
rnacentral:rRNA from 1 species